rnacentral:rRNA from 1 species
GACGGAGGAUGCAAGCGUUAUCCGGAAUUAUUGGGCGUAAAGCGUCCGCAGGUGGACAUACAAGUCUGCUGUCAAAGUGCAGAGCUUAACUCUGUAAAGGCGGUGGAAACUGUAGGUCUUGAGUAUGGUAGGGGUAGAGGGAAUUCCCGGUGUAGCGGUGAAAUGCGUAGAUAUCGGGAAGAACACCAGUGGCGAAGGCGCUCUGCUGGACCAUAACUGACACUCAGGGACGAAAGCUAGGGGAGCGAAUGGG